rnacentral:rRNA from 1 species
CCUACGGGUGGCAGCAGUGAGGAAUAUUGGUCAAUGGACGAGAGUCUGAACCAGCCAAGUAGCGUGAAGGAUGACUGCCCUAUGGGUUGUAAACUUCUUUUAUAUGGGAAUAAAAUGUUCCACGUGUGGGAUUUUGUAUGUACCAUAUGAAUAAGGAUCGGCUAACUCCGUGCCAGCAGCCGCGGUAAUACGGAGGAUCUGAGCGUUAUCCGGAUUUAUUGGGUUUAAAGGGAGCGUAGGUGGAUUGUUAAGUCAGUUGUGAAAGUUUGCGGCUCAACCGUAAAAUUGCAGUUGAAACUGGCAGUCGUGAGUACAGUAGAGGUGGGCGGAAUUCGUGGUGUAGCGGUGAAAUGCUUAGAUAUCACGAAGAACUCCGAUGGCGAAGGCAGCUCACUGGACUGCAACUGACACUGAGGCUCGAAAGUGUGGGUAUCAAACAGGAUUAGAUACCCCUGUAGUC